AGUAUGCUUCUGUGGUCACUUGAAAUGGAACCCUACUGACAGAGAAUAGGGGGCUGUCCCUGGAGAUGGUGAGCAGGCUCACCUUGUAGUGAGAAGCCUAAAGUCUUCAUAUGGCCUACCACACUGAUUUAACAUGGGUUCACAGUCAUUGCUGAUCACAGAAGUUUUUUU
rnacentral:other from 1 species